rnacentral:rRNA from 1 species
AUUGAACGCUGGCGGCAUGCCUUACACAUGCAAGUCGAACGGUAACAGGUCUUCGGAUGCUGACGAGUGGCGAACGGGUGAGUAAUACAUCGGAACGUGCCUAGUAGUGGGGGGUAACUACUCGAAAGAGUGGCUAAUACCGCAUGAGAUCUACGGAUGAAAGCAGGGGAUCGCAAGACCUUGUGCUACUAGAGCGGCCGAUGGCAGAUUAGGUAGUUGGUGGGAUAAAAGCUUACCAAGCCGACGAUCUGUAGCUGGUCUGAGAGGACGAUCAGCCACACUGGAGCGGAGAAACGGCCCAGACUCCUACGGGAGGCAGCAGUGGGGAAUUUUGGACAAUGGGCGAAAGCCUGAUCCAGCAAUGCCGCGUGCAGGAUGAAGGCCUUCGGGUUGUAAACUGCUUUUGUACGGAACGAAAAGCCCUGGGUUAAUACCCUGGGGUCAUGACGGUACCGUAAGAAUAAGCACCGGCUAACUACGUGCCAGCAGCCGCAGUAA